rnacentral:lncRNA from 1 species
GCCUACGGGUGGCCGGGCGGGAUGUAACCGGCUGCUGAGCUGGCAGUUCUGUGUCGCUAGGCUUCUGCCCGGCCGCCGCCGCACAUAAGCUGCGAGGAGGAGCUUUACGACUUCCCGGUCUUCGGGGCCGGGCGCAGCAAGGGCCAGACUCUGCGCUAGCAGGCGCUGCGCGCCAACCGGCCGGCACCUGUCGCAGAAGGUGCAACCGAUCGCACUGUCGCGCAGAAGCUCCUCAAUGGCCAGCGCCAGCUGCAGCCCCGGCCGCCCACUCGCCUCAUCUGAGCCUGGGUACGUGCGCCCCACAACGCCUCCCCCAGCCAGGGCCCGGGGAUCCCCGGGAGCGUCCCCGGCUACCUGGCGCCGCUCAUCCUGGGUAGGGUCGGCCCCCUCUGAGGCUGCCUGGCAUGAGGGAGCUGCACCCCUGAGCUUGACCUCUGACGGCCCUUUGUAAUAGCAUUAAGUCUUUGAAACUUUGUAGCGGGGUAGAAGGGGCUAGGAAAUGAAGAAAACAUCUUUUUAAAAAUAUAAGCAGUCGGCUGGGCGAGGUGGCCCACGCCUGUAAUCCCAGCACUUUGGGAGGUCGAGGCAGGUGGAUCACGAGGACAGGAGUUCAAAACCAGCCUGGCCAGCAUGGUUUCACUGAAACCCCGUCUCUACUAAAAACACAAAAAUUAGUCGGGCGUGGUGGCUGGUGCCUGUAAUCCCAGCUACCCGGGAGGCUGAGGCAGAGAAUUGUUUGAACCCGGGAUGCGGAGGUUGCAGUGAGCGGAGAUCGCGCCACUGCACUCCAGCCUGGGCAACAGACCAAGACUCCGUCUAAACAAACAAAUAUAUGUGUGUAUAUAUAUGCGAUCGAGCCCGGGAGGUUGAGAUUACAGUGAGCUGAGAUUAUAUAAGCGAUCGAGCACUGGAGGUUGAUGUUACAGUGAGCUGAGAUUGCGCCAUUGCACUCCAGCCUGUGUAACAGAGGGAGACUCUGUCUCUAAAAAAUUAUAUGCAAGUGAGAGCUUUUCUUCCAGCGCUCAUGCUCAGACUGAAGAAAGUAAUUGGGCCAGGCCCGGUGGCUCACGCCCGUAAUCCCAGCAUUUUGGGAGGCGGAGGCGGAAGCGGGUGGAUCACUUGAGCUCAGGAAUUCCAGACUAGUUUGGGCAACAUGGUGGAAGCCUGUCUCUACAAAAAUACAAAAAAUUAGCUGGGCAUGGUGGCACGCACUUGUAGUCUCCGCUACUUGCCGGGCUUAGGCGGGAGAAUCGCUCAGCUGCAGCCUCGACCUCCAGGGGCAAUCCAUUUCAGCCUCCCAAAGUGCUGAGAUUACAGGAAUGAGCCAUCGUGCCUGGCUUUACACUAUAUUUUAAUACUUUUUUUGAAAAUGGAAACUUUUACAGGCAAUUCACUUCCUUCAAACUAAUGAUAAGGAAGUGAUGCUGUUCUGUUCUGUUUUGUUUUUUGUUUUUGUGGGUUUUUUUUCUUUUUUGAGAUGGGGUCUUGCCCAGGUUGGAGUGAGUUGGUGCAAACAAGGCUCACUGCAGCCUUGACCUUCGGGCUCAAGGAAUCCUUCCCUGUCAGCCUCCCCGGUAGCUAGGACUACAGGUGCAUGCUACCACGCUUGGCUAAUUCUUUUUUUGAAAUGGAGUCUCACUCUGUCUCCCAGGCUGGAGUGCAGUGGUGCAAUCUCGGCUCACUGCAGGCUGGUCUCAACCUCUGACUUCGGCUGGUCCACCCACUUCUGCAUCCCAAAGUGCUGGGAUUACAAGUGUGACCCACCGCGCCUGGCGAUUUUGCUCAUUUUAGAUACUAGAACUUUUUAAUUUAAAUUUUUUUUUUCCUGAGAUGGAGUCUUACUUUGUCUCCAGGCUGGAGUGUAGUGGCGUAAUCUCGGCUCACUGCAACCUCCGCCUCCUGAGUUCAAGCGAUUCUCCUGCCUCAGCCUGCCAGAGUUGCUGGGACUACAGGUGCGCACCACCACACCCAGGAGUUCAAGGCUGCAGUGAGCCAUGAUCGUACCACUGCACUCCAGCCUGGGCAACACAGCGAGACCCUGACUCCACAAAUAAAUAAAUCAACAUCAUAUGAUCUGUACCAGGGUAUAGGCAGGUGCUAUGAUCCCCACUUUUCAUCCUCAACUCUAAGUUGAGUCAUACAUCAACCUCUAGUAAAAAGUGGCAUGCUCUCAGUCAAAGGGGUAAGCCCAAACCACGCGGAGAGAAUCUUAUCUCUUUUGAGAGCUAAUAUAAAAAGAAUUCCUCCUAGGCAUAAAAAUAUUGUGACACCAGUUACUUAGGCUAAACAUGCCUAUUAUGCUAAGUGAGUUAUUAACAAUAAAUACUUUAACUCUGUGCCAUGUUAAUUAUCAUAAUCUGAUUUAUAAUUUGUUUUAACCUUAGGUUAUAUAUACCUUGAAGCCAUUUAUAUUUUGGUAUACUUGUAAUAAUUACUAUACACCGGACUAUGUAUAUUGGACUAAACACGGAGAGUCAAAAAAGAGUAUGUGGUCAGAGUAGAAAUCAUGCCCUAGCUUCCUUCGUGUCUACCUCCUACCUUGAGUAGAAGUGGUAGAAAAAGUAAUUACCUAAGAUUUUUUGGAUUCUGGUUUGUGGAGAAGCACCCUUAUAUUUAGGCUGAUGGGCGGCAAAAUUAGAAAGUAUUUUUUGUGAUUUAGAAUUUUAUACGGAGAUGUUCAUUGUGAUUAAUUAUUCUUUGUAUUAGCAGAUUUUUGCUUUUUAUAGCUGCAUGAUUUCUUGUUUAUUAUUCAUUCAUUAUUGUCUAUUAAUAAAGAAAAACUUUAUUUCACUGAAGCAGUGAUAUAUAAUCCAACUUGGAUUUUUAAAUAAUGACUGACUUUUUUUCUUUGGGAAUACAUUACUGUUAAAAAUGUAAUUAUUAGAUACAUUACUUUUAAUGAAUAUAAGUGGUAUAAUUAGAAGGCUGAAAAGAAUCCUUGGAAAUGUGAGUUUAAUUUGAUAGCUAAGAAACUGAGGACAAGUUACUUAUUCUUUGUAGCAUAUUUUCUAAUGUCAUUUCAUUGUCUCACCAAGAAAUACUUGCAUAAAGCAAGUUCAAUUACAGCAUCUGUUGAAUAUUUAAGGUUGAGUAAAGUGGGUGAGUUUAACAGAUAUUUUCCCUUAUUUCUUUUAGGCGAAUCUGGAUUGGGAAAGUUGAUAUUAAUCAACUCAUUAUUCCUCACAGAUUUGUAUUCUCCAGAGUAUCCAGGUCCUUCUCAGAGAAUUAAAAAGCCUGUACAGGUCUACAUAUUGGUAUUUUUAAUUGAUGAUAAGCUGGAAUAAUAUUAAUACACACAAAGCACGUGUUGUAACUUUCAUUAUGCUUCCCUAGAGGUAAGAUGCAAAUUUGCCCUUAGCCAGUGUAAGAUGGUAAAUAUGACUUCAUAAAAUCAAAAAAACAGAGGAAGUACAGUUAAUCGAAAGAAUUAUCUUGACUAGAACUUUCCAAAUUUGUCCUAAGGAUUCUCCUAGAGAUGACACUGUGACAUAGUAACCAAUUCCCCUGGAGUUGUGCUAUGUAGUAUGAUAGUCAUUUGCCACAUGUUUAAAUCAAUUAAAAUUAAUUAAAUUAAAAUGCAAUUUCUCAUUUGCUCCAGAUACAUUUCAAGUGCUCAACAGCCACAUGUGGCAAGUGGCUGCCAUUUUGUGCAGCACAUAUAUGAAGAUUUUCAUCAUUGUAGAAAAUUGCAUUGGACAGUGUAGAGAAAACAUGAUUCAUAGAAAAACUAUUGUUAUUUAAAUAGUGUUCUAUAUUAGUCAGUGGGAUAAUACCAUAUCAUAGUUGAAUGGCAAUAGCAAUUCUGUAAAACUCCCAUGCUAUAUGUGAUCUAAUUUACUGCUUCUCAGUCUUUGCUACGCAUUCCAAUCCUGGGUAUCCUGUUAAAUUUAUUUCUUCUAGUAGUUCUGAGAUGGGCUGCCUUUCUACAUUUCUAACAAGAUCCCAGGUGAUGCUGAUGCCGCUGGAUGGUAGAUCACACUUUAUAAAGCAAGGGGCUAGACUCUAGAUAUGCACUUUUUAUUAAAUAGUACAGCAGCCUGUAGCCACAUGUGGCUAUUAAUCUUUGAAAUGUGGGUAGUCUGAAUUGUGAUGUUCUGCAAAUAUAAAAUAUGCCACAGAUUUCUAAGACUGAGCAUGGAAAAGAAAAUCUCCGUAAUUUUUUAUAUUGAUUGUAUACUGCAGUGAUAAUAUUUUGGAUGUAUCGGGUUAAAUAAAAUUGACUGAUUUCACCUUUUUCCUAUUUUAAAAGUGGCUACUAAGAAAAUUUUAAAUUACUUACAUGACCGACAUGGUAUUUUUAUUUGGCAGCGCUGCUCUAAGCUGUUGAUGAAAAAUAUUGUUGGUGAGCUCUGCUUAGGUAAUAUGUAGGACACGAGCAGAGAGGAGGCACGUGAACAGUUCUGGCUGAAGUAGGCUUCAUUGAGGCCGUGAUGCUUUUAGCUGGAUUUGAAGAAGUGGUAGUGAGCAUCCCAGUGCACAGGAUAGGAGGACAGUCUAUAUAUUCUGAGCAGUAACUCAUAUAUAUCAUACUGCAAGACCCCAAAGGAGUAAUUUUUUGAAGUAAAUAUCUUAUUUCUCCUUUUUAAUGUUUCUAUUUUGGGAAUUUUUUUUUUUUUAGUAACCUUCAUAGGGCUUGAGAUUUAAAAUUACCUGCAAAAUUCUACUCUAAAAACUUGAUCCUACAUGCUUAUUUAUUUUGUGAUAAAUAUUGGAAAUUUUAAACCUAAGCAAGAAAAUGAACUUUGAACUUUCUUAAUUUGGGUAUCUAUUAUGAAUACCUUCACUUAAGUAUUUAUGAAUUUAGAUAUGAAAGGUAAAACUAACCACUAUCCAAAUUAAUAUACAGUUCAUUUCCAGAACCCUAGUUUCUUCCAUGUGCUCACUCGCAUUCAGUAUUACAACCCCCAAAGAUAAACACCUUACUGACUGCCUUCUCCAUAAAUUUGCCUGUUCUUGAACGUUAUAUACGUAUACUUUUUUGUAUCUGUUUUCUUUCAGUGAAGAUUAUGUCUGUAUUAUUUACUCAUGUUGGGUGUAGUUGUUUUUUUCAUCGUCGUAUAAUACUCCAUUGUGUGAAUGUAUAAAGUAUAUCCUUUAUUAUUUAUUGUAGAUAAGCCUUUGGGUUUUCAGUUUUUUACUAACGGGAACAUUCUUGUGCAUGUCUUAGUAGACUUAGGCACUCAUUGCUGUUGUGUGUGCAUAAAGAUAUAAAGGUAUUUGAGUUUAUUUUAUUUGAUUUCUAGUGAGGUUGAACAUGUCUUGUACUCAAUAACUGUUCAGAUUUCAUUAAAGUCUUUUGGUAAUCUUAAUAUUUUCUGUCAUUUUCUUGCUGAUUUAUAGGAGUUUGAAAAAUCUAAUAAUCCCCUACAUUUUAGAUAUUGCAGACAUUUUCUCCCCAGGUGAGCAUCUGUUAAAGAUGUGACAUGCCCUCAAUUUAUUUUAGAAUUCUUACAUUGGCUUAGCUUCAAAAUAAAUUGCCUAAACCCAUUUUACCUUCCUUUAAAGUAACACUUCAAAAAUAUCCUCUUCUGUUGUGAAUAUCUUCCCGGAAACUCUCUUUAUCUUGAAAACAAAGGGGUAAUGGAGGUACUAGAGAAUAUCUCUAGUAGGAUUUUUAAGACAGGCCUGUGCACCACUGUUAAAUAUCUUUUCUGUACCAAAAAGAAGACCUGUAACAUUUGAGAACCAGAUUGAUCCUUAGUAGAAUCCUGUAGAAGUCCUCUUUCCUGAUUGAACCAUAGAGGUGUAUUCCUUUAUAUACUGAAAACUAGCUGAAGAUAAUCUAAACUCUUGUGCCCAGUUAGGAAAGAACAUGCCAUAUUAUGGACAGGGUCAGAGUCAUUCAAGAAGCCUGAAUAUAGUUAGAAAAUGAGAAUGUAAUCUUUUUAAUAGUUGGCUGGCUCUUUACCAAGCCCAGUAGUCUUGAAGAUAUAGGGGAAAUAGUGUAAACGGUUGUCAAGAUGAAUCUAAAAUGGAAAUUAAUCAGUUCCCUAGAAUAGAUUGAGAAAUUAGCUUUAGGAAAAAGAUAAAUUUCACACACACUGUACCAUGGAAGGUACAGUGCUGAUUCAGACAGACUGGGAAUGGUCUCAUUUUUAAGUGGUGAUGUGAGGUACUUCACUGAGCAUUGUGACAGGCACGGGCUUGGGAAGAGCCUAUUAGGAAAUGGGAGAGGCAUGAGACUAAGGAGCACAUAAGAGUAAUAUUAGCAGAGAAAUUCUUUUUGAGGUUGAAGGUCAUGAAUUUUAUGGUAUAGGAAUAGAAAGAGGGGUUAAUCCAGAAUGGGAUUUGAGUUGGAAAGGGAAAGAAAUAAAGGUUUUGGGAAGGAGGUUGCUAAUAGAAAAUGAGAGGGGCAAGGGAUUUGAGGUCUCAGUAAGGAGACAGGGAUAUGAGGAGUGGAGAGGUUCAGAAUAGAAAGCCAAAUUAGAGUUUUGGGAUCAACUUUCUUCUCAGUAAAGUAGUCCUGGGUCUUCGUGAGAAGGAAGUAUUCUUCAGGCAUAACUGUUCUACUAUUGGUUACUUCCUCUUUCAUUGUCUUGUGGAACACGAUGAAACAUUUAAGAUGAUAUUCAUCUUUUGAGCCAAUAAAUAAGGGAAAUAGAUAGUUUUUGUGUUUGAGCUAAGUGGAGUAUCUCAGGCCAUUCCAAUGUCUUCAGAGUUUUGGCUGUAAUGCUACCUCUUGAGCAAGUGUAGGUAGAGGUAAGCUCUUGACAGAAAAUUUUAACCCUCUCUUCAAAAUGUUAUAUGCUUAAUUAAAUAACUUCUUAAUUUACCUUAAUAAAUGGCGUAUAAACAUUAAGUUAGAAAAGGUUAGUGUAUAUGAAGCUGUAUAAUCAACAUUGUUUGACUUUUUUUCCUCAGAUUGUAAAACUGAAAACUCAGUAUACUAAUACUCUUGUAUACUGUAUACACUCAGUAUUAGAAAAUGAGUACCUUUGAUUUCUGGAAUCUCGGAUGCCAAAAGAGGUCUCAAUAGAUGAAUUAUACAUAGAUGAUUCAUAGACGAUAGUUUUAGUUUUAUUUAUUUUUCAGGGAAAAACAUUUGACAAUGUUCUUGAUUCAUUUUUUUGGUAUUAAAUUAUGCAGCUAAUCUUAGAGAACCCUGAGUGAUGCCAUAAAAGAUGUUGAUGUGGCCUGCUUAAGGAAAGUGCACGGGAAAGUGGCCAUUUGGAAUAGAUUUGUUAAGAAAAGUUUGAAAUUCUUGGACUCGAACUAAUUUGUUUUCCAUGGAUCCCAUGAGGAUACUUGUAAAAGCAGAUGAUAGGGUCCAGUUGGAUCCUGUGAAUGGCACUAGUUUGCAGUUAUGUUUUCUGGAUCUCUUCCAUAUGUCGCUGACUUCUUUGUAUUUGACCAUGUAUGGACAUACAGAAUUUCAUAGGCCAGAGAAGAAAAGAAGCUUUAUAAACAUUCCUUAUGUGUGUAAAAUACAAAUCUUCAUUUGUCUUAGCAAGUCAAUAAGUAAUUAAGUUGUUGAACUGAUUUUUUUUUUAAACAGGGAAAUAUCUUAAAAUUUAAGCUGUUAGGUUAAAAUGUGUGUUUGGUAUACAGCAUAUUACUGAAGGUAGAAUGGGCUUCAUUUGGUAAUAAAGGAACCAGAAAUAUUUUUAAGUAAAAUUGGGAGAUGAUUCAUGUAGAUUAACUAUAUUUUUGUAUCACUUUCUAGAAUACAGUACUAUGUUGUUUAAAAGAGUAAGUAGGUAAAGGAGUGGUAUAAUUACUUUGGAUAUUUCUGCGUCAGCCACAGUUACCAUGAAUAAAUGAUCUGUCUUUAUAAAGGAGAUGGAAGUGAAUUCAAGAUAUUGAGAUGUUAGAUUUGACUGGGUUGUCCUUUGACUAGAAGAUCACCAGAUAAAGAAAAUGUAAACUUCCUAAACCAGAUAAGAUGAUAUUGUUAAAAAAUUUUUUUGGCCCAGCACUUUGGGAGGCUGAAAUGGGAAGAUUGCUUGAACCCAGGAGUUUGAAGCUGCAGUAAGCUAUGAUCUACCAUGCACUCCAGCCUGGGCAACAGAGUGAGACCCUGACUAAAAAAAAAAAUUUUUUUUCCUUUGGUUCUCAUGAUUUCACACUGAUGAAUCUGAUUGUUUUCUCUGAGUCAUUUUGCCUCUCUCAUGUUAUUAGGGUAACCUGAUAAUAGACAUGUUAUCUGAGUUAUGUGGUAUGUAACAGUGAUCUUCUAAAUGAUGUGCAUCCAUCACUGAUACUGAGGAUGAUCAGAAACUAUUACAACUCUUAUUUAUUGAUCUUUACUUUUAAUCUACAGAUAAAUGAUAAUACAUAUUAAUACUUAAUAUUCAGAUUGCCAAUAGUAUAUAUUUGGUGGGUAAAUAUCUUUUGGAUCUGCAAAAUUUUCACUGAUAGUUUGUAUCAGGAUCAAAGCAGUUUGAAGAACAUUAAUCUAAAAGAUAAGACUUUGGCAUCUCAUUUCUCUAAAAGAUAAGUCAUGCAUGUACACACUCAGGCAAUUUUUUUCAGUUUUAUAAGUUUUAUUCUUGAUAAUAAAAUUCUUUUAACAGAAAACUCUUGAUUGCUAUAGACCUCUGCUGUGUAUUCAGUAGUCACUAGCCACAUGUGGCUAUUUAAGUUAAUUCAAAUUAAAUAAAAUUAAAUAUCAGUUCCUUAUUUGCACUAGUCAGAUUUUAAGGAGUAAGUAGCCACAUGGGCAAGUGGCUACCAUAUUGGACAGUGUGGAUACACAACAAUUCCAUCAUCUCAGAAAGUGUUAUUGGAUAGUGUGGCUACAGACUUUUCUUGCUCAGCAAUCUUAGUCUCCGCAUGUUAGUCUCUUCAUGCAUUAGGUAGCAUCUAUAAAACAUGCCAAAAGGAAAUAGGCUAUCUCUAAAAGUGUCCCAAACUUUUUGUCUUGUAAAUUAGCUUAUCAGCAUACUUGGAGCCUCUUGCCUUAAAAAGGACUUGAUAUAAAUGUGUAUCAGGAGAAAGCCUAUCUUAUGAAGGAAUUAUUCCCUUUUUAUUUGAAUCCAUGUUUGCUUUAUCUUCGGCUCCUGAAAACUGAUACUUUGCAUUUAACAGCAGCAUAUGCCCAGGAUGAAUGAUAAUACAUCUCCUGAUACAGAGCUUGAGGUUACAGAAUAUCUUAAAUUGUUCCAGGAACUGUUGUUAUCAUUUAAGUCCAAUAAUCAGUAAGAUUUCACCCUACCAGAAUACACUUUUUUUUAUUAACUGUCUGGACCUUUGCUGAUUACAUUGUCCGGAAUGUGGAGUAUCGCAUUUGAGAAGAGGAUUGGAUCCUAGCCAUAACAUAAAUAUAAGGGUAAUUACAUCCAUGCUGAGAAAGAUUUAGGAAUGAUAGUAAGUUCAUUUGAGUGAGUGGUUUGGGCCAAACUUGAUAGAGAAUAGUCCAGGAAGACAUUUACUAUAAACAGUAGAUUAAAUGUUCUUGCCUGGUUAAUUACAUUUGAACUCUGUUAAUGACUGAAUCACUCAAACUGCUUAAUUGUAUUAUUAGAUGCACAUUUAAGUUAUGUAUUACAUGUCUUUAGUGGUGAUCAGAAUUUUAUCAGUUCCUCUGUCUUUCUUUAUACCAAGUAUGACUCAUAAACCCAGUAUUAAUUUGCCAAGAGAUUGGCAUACUAUUUGUAUAUAUGCUUUUCUUUCAAAUAAUCUGGAUUCCCAAUGCCCACAAUCAUUGAUCCUAAAGAAAAUGUGAGAGUAGGUAGAUAAACUCAAACAUCCCUACCAUCACCCCUGGUAGGAAAUCACUGGUGUAAUGUAUGAUAUUAACAUCUGCACCAAUUACUCUUAUAGGUGGAACAAUCCAAAGUUUUAAUCAGAGAAGGUGGUGUUCAGUUGCUGCUUACAAUAGUUGAUACCCCAGUAUUUGGAGAUGCAGUGGAUAACAGUAAUUGCUGGCAGCCUGCUAUCAAUUACAUUGAUAGUAAAUUUGAGGACUACCUAAAUGCAGAAUCGCAAGUGAACAGAUGUCAGAUGCCUGGUAACAGGGUGCAGUGUUGUUUAUACUUCAUUGCUCCUUCAGGACAUGGAGACAGAUCUCAUUAUGUUGCCCAGGGUGAUCCUUGAUCUCCUGGCCUCAAGUGAUCCUCCAACCUUGGUCUCCCAAAGUGCUGGGAUUACAGAUGUGAACUACCACACCCAGUCAACGUGCAGAAGGUUUUCAGUUUGAUGUAGUCUGAUGUAGUCUCAUGUAUUUAUCCUUGUUGUUGUUGCCUGAGCUUUUGGUGUGAUAUCCAAAAAUAUCAUUGCCAAGAUCAAUAUCAAGAAACUUUCCCCCUAUGUUUCUUACAGAAAUUUUAUGGUUUCAGAUUUUUCAUCUAUUUUGAGUAUAUUUUUGUGUAUGAUGUAAGAUAAGGGUCCAGUCUCCCCAGUGUUGGAUAUCCAAUUUUCAUAACACCAUUUAUUGAAGAGAUUAUUCUUUCUCCACUGUGUUUUCUUGAUGUCCUUGUCAAAAAUUAGUUGACUUUUAUAUGCUUGGGUUUAUUUCUGGGCUCUAUUCUGUUUCAUUGCUUUACAUCUCUGUUUUCAUGCCAGUGCCACAGUGUUUUGAUUACUAUAGCUUUGUAAUAUAAUUUGAAAUCAGAAUGUGUAAUACCUAUAACUUUGUUUUUUGCUCUAAAGAUUUAUUUAUUUAUUUAUUUAUUUUUGCCAUUUCAGGUCUUUUGUGGUUUCAUAUGAAUUUCAGAAUUGUUUUUCCUAUUUCUGUGAAAAAUGCCAUUGACAUUUUGAUAGGGAUUGUGUUGAAUCUAUAUAUUGCUUUGGAUAGUAUGGAUGUUUUAACACUAUUAAUUCUCCCAAUCCAUGAACAUGAAAUAUCUUUCCAUUCACUUGUGUCUUCUUCAAUUUCUUUCAUCAAUGUUUUAUAGUUUUCAUUGUGCAGAUCUUUCACUUACCUGGUUAAAUUUAUUCCUACAAUUUCAUUCUUUUUGAUAUUAGGGUAAAUUGAAUUAUUUUCUUGAUUUCUAUAAAUUAUUUAUUAUCAUACUCAUACUUGUCAGGCCUCUGGGCCCAAGCCUGCAUGUAUACAUCCAGAUGGCCUGAAAUAACUGAAGAAUCACAAAAGAAGUGAAAAUGGCCAGUUCCUGCCUUAACUGGUGACAUUACCUUGUGAAAUUCCUUCUCCUGGCUCAGAAGCUCCCCCGCUGAGCACCUUGUGACCCCCGUCCCUGCCCACCAGAGAACAACCCCCUUUGACUGUAAUUGUCCACUACCCACCCAAAUCCUAUAAAACAGCCCCACCCCUGUCUCCCUUCACUGACUCCUUUUUCAGACUCAGCCUGCCUGCACCCAGGUGAAAUAAACAGCCUUGUUGCUCACACAAAGCCUGUUGGUGGACUCUCUUCACACAGAUGCGCAAGACAAUACUAACACCAAUAUUAUUUUGAUUCGUCAGAUGGAAAAGUAAGGCUUGAAGAGGUUAGAAAUAACUUUUCCAAGGUCACAGAGCUAAUUGCCACAACUAUAACUCAGCUCUAGUAUGUGAACAAAGAUUUUUUUAUACCAAACCAAAAUUAUUUAUUUCUACUCCACUAUUCUAUCAUGGUGCAUUUUAGGUGCUAAUGGGAAAAGGUGCUCUAUGAUGGUGUCCAAUAGACAAUUAAAAUUCGAAUCUGGAAAUGAGAUCUGGACUGAAGAUUUUUUUUAAAAUUAGCCCUCAUCACAUGUAGUCAGCUGUAGAAAUCCUUAGCAUGGCUGAAAUUUUUCAUAUUAAGAAAAGACUAGAACUUGGCCAGGUGUGGUGGCUCACACCUGUAAUCCCAGCACUUUGGGAGGCUGAGGUGGGUGAAUCACCUGAGGUCUGGAGUUUGAGACCAGCUGACCAACAUGGUGAAACACCAUCUCUACUAAAAAUACAAAAAAUUAGCCAGGCGUGGUUGCACAUGCCUGUAAUCCUAGCUACUUGGGAAGCUGAGGUAGGAGAAUUGCUUGAACCCAGGAGGUGGAGGUUGCAGCGAGCUGAGAUCGUGCCAUUGCACUGCAGUCUGGGCAAAAAAAGCAAAACUCCGAAGAAAGAGAGAAAGAGAGAGGGAGAGAGAAAGGAGGAGACAAUGAGAGACAGAGAGAGAGAAGGAGAGAGAAAGAACAAAAGAAUGAAUGAACGAACAAACUAGAAAUCGAGCAGGAACCUUGGAGGACCUAUUGCUUAAGGUGUGGGCGAAAGAAAGUAAGUUAGGGCAAGAGACUAAGGUAUGCCAGAGACCCAGGACAAAACACAGUGCAGAGUGAUGUCACAGAGCCAAAUGGGAGUGCAAGCUAUGGCAAGCCCUCCCAAGUAUGUGUGGGUUAAAUGUGAUUAAAUUCAAAAUCUCUCAACCCAAAAAUUUUCUCCACAAAGGAAGUAGAGAAACAAAACAGUUCAUUAUUGAAUAAGCAUUAAACCAGAAUGUGAUGUGUGAAUAUAAUGGAAUGGAAUGGAUUCGAAAGAAAUGGAAUGGAAUGGAAUGGAGUGGAAUGGAAUGGACCCGAAUGGAAUGGAACAGAAUGGAAUGGAAUGGAACGCACUCGAAUGGAAUGAAAUGGAAUGGAAUGGAAUGGAAUGGAACGGACAUGAAUGGAAUGGAAUGGAAUGGAAUGGAAUGGAAUGGAAUGGAAUGGAAUGGACACGAAUGGAACAGAAUGGAACGGAAUAGACUCGAAUGGGAUGGAAUGGAAUUGAAUGGACUCUAAUGGAAUGGACAUGAAUGGAAUGGAAUGGACUCAAUUAGAAUGCAGUUGAAUUGAAAGGAUCCAAAAGGAAUGCAAUGGAAUGCAUUGGAAUGGAAUGGAAUGGAAUGGAAUGGAAUGGAAUGGAAUGGAAUGGACUUGAAUGGGAUGGACUCUAAUGGAAUGGAAUGGAAUGGAACUGAAUGGAAUGGAAUGGACUUGAAUGGAAUAGAAUGGAAUGGAAUGGAAUGGACUCGAAAGAAAUGGAAUGGAAUGGAUUCAAAUGGAAUGGAAUGGACACAAAUGGAACCAAAUGGAAUGGAAUGGACUCGAAUGGAAUACAAUGGAAUUUAAUGGAAUGGACUCUAAUGGAAUGGAAUGGACUAGAAUGGAAUAGAACGGAAUAGACUCGAAAGGUAUGGAAUGCAAUGGAAUGGACUCGAAUGGAAUAGAACAGAAUAGACUAGAAUGGUAUGGAAUGCAAUGGAAUGGACAAGAAUUGAAUUGAAUGGACUGGAAUGGAAUGGAAUGGAAUGCAAUGGAAUGCACUUGAACGGAUUGGAAUGGAAUGGAAUGGAACGGAACGGAACGGAACGGAACGGACCCGGAAUGGAACGGAACGGACCCGGAAUGGAACGGAACGGAAUGGAAUGGAAUGGAAUGGAAUGAAGUGGACUCUAAUGGAAUGGAAUGGAAUGGAAUAGACUCGAAUGAAAUGGGAUGGACUCGAAUGGAAUGGAACGGAAUGGAAUCGACUCGAGUGGAAUGGAAUGGAAUGGAAUGGAAUAGAAUGGAAUUGACUCAAUUUAAAUGGAAUGAAGUGGAAUGAACUCGAAUGGCAUGCAAUGGAAUGGAAUAGAAUCGAAUGGAAUGGAAUGGACCCAAAUGGAAUGGAACGGAAUGGAAUGGAAUGGAACGGAAUGGCAUGGAACGGAAUGGAAUGGAUUGGAAUGAACUCCAACGGAAUGGAAUGGACUCGAAUGCAAUGGAACGGAAUGGAAUGGAAUGGAAUGGAGUGGACUGGAAUGGAAUAGAAUGGAAUGGAUAGGACUGGAAUGAAAUGGAAUGGAAUGGACUCAAAUGGAAUGGAAUGGAAUGGAAUGGACUCAAAUGGAAUGGACUCAAGUGGAAUGGAAUGGAAUGGACACGAAUUGAAUGGAAUGGAAUGGACUGUAAUGGAAAGGAAUGGAAUGGAACGGAAUGGACUCGAAUGGAAUGGAAAGGACUCGAGUGGAAUGGAAUGGAAUGGAAUGGACUCGAAUGGAAUGGAGUGGAAUGUAUGCGAAUGGAAUGGAAUGGAAUUGAAUGGAUUCGAGUCAAACGGAAUGUAAUGGUAUGGAAUGGACUCGAAUGGAAUGGAAUGUAAUGGAAUGAAAUGGAUGCGAAUGGAAUGGACUCGAAUGGAAUGGAUGGAAUGGAAUGGAGUGGAAUGGAAUGGACUCGAAUGGUAUGGAAUGGAAUUGAAUGGACUCGAUAGGAAUGGAAUGGAAUGGAUUGGACUCGAAAGGAAUGUAAUGGAAUGAAAUGUGCUGGAAUGGAAUGGAAUGGAAUGGAAUAAAAUGUAAUGGAAUGGACUCGAAUGGAAUACAGUUGAAUUGAAUGGACCCGAAAGCAAUGGAAGGAAUGGAAUGGAACGGAUUGGAAGGGAAUGGAAUGGAAUGAAAUGGAAAAGACUCGAAUGGAAUGGAAUGGAAUGGAAUGGAAUGGAAUGGAAUGGAAUGGAAUGGAAUGGAAUGGAAUGGAAUGGACUCGAAUGAAAUGGAAUGGACUCGAAUGAAAUGGAAUGGACUAGAAUGGAAUGGAAUGGAAUGGAAUGGAAUGGAAUGGAAUGGAAUGGAAUGGAAUGGAAUGGAAUGGAAUCGACUCGAGUGGAAUGGAAUGGACUCGAAAGAAAUGGAAUGCAGUGGAAUGGACUCGAAUGGAAUGCAAUGGAAUGGAAUAGACUCGAACGGAAUGGAAUGGAAUGGAAUGGAAUGGAAUGGAACGGAAUGGACGCGAAUGAAAUGGAAUGGAACGGAAUGGACUCGGAUGGAACGGAACGGAAUGGAACGGAAUGGAAUGGAAUUUACUCGAAUGGGAUGGAAUGGAAUGGAAUUUACUCGAAUGGAAUGGAAUGGAAUGGACUGAAAUGGAAUAGCAUGGAAUGGAAUGGACUCGAAUGCAAUGGAAUGGAAUGGACUCGAGUGGAAUGGAAUGGACUCGAACGGAGUGGAGUCGAAUGGAUUCGAAUGGAAUGCAAUGGAAUGGAAUGGAAUGCAAUGUACUCGAAUGGAAUGGAAUGUAAUAGAAUGAAAAUUACUCGAAUGGAAUGGAAUGGAAUGGAAUGGAAUCGAACGGACUUGAAUAGAAUGCAGUUGAAUUGAAUGGACCUGAAAGAAUGGAAUGGAAUGGAAUGAAAUGGACUCGAAUGGAAUGGAAUAGACUGAAAUGAAAUGGAAUGUACCAGAAUGGAAUGGAAUGGAAUGUACUGGAAUGGAAUGGAAUGGACUCGAAUGAUAUGCAAUUGAAUGGACUCGCAUGGAUUGGAAUGGACUCUAGUGGAAUGGAAUGGAAUAGAAUGGACUCCAAUGGAAUGCGGUGGGAUGGAUUCAAAUGGAAUGGAAUGGAAUUGAGUGGAUUUGAAUUGAAUGGAAUGUAAUGGUAUGGAAUGGAAUGGAAUGAAAUGGACUCGAAUGGAAUGGAAUGUACUCGAAUUGUAUGGAACGGAAUUGAAUGGACUCGAAAGGAAUGGAAUGGAAUGGAAUGGACUCGAAUGGAAUGGAAUGGAAUGAACUCCAAUGGAAUGGAAUGGACUCGAAUAGAAUGGAAUGGAAUGGAAAGGACUCGAGUGGAAUGGAAUGGAGUGGAAUGGACUCGAAUGGGAUGGAAUGGAAUGGAAUGGACUCGAAUGGAAUGGAAUGGAAUGGAACCGAAAGGAAUGGAAUGGAAUGGAAUGGAAUGGAAUCGACCCGACUGGAAUGGAAUGGAAUGGAAUGCAAUGGAAUCGAAUGGGAUGGAAUGUAUUGGAAUGGACUCGAAUGGAAUGGAUAGGAAUGGACCCGAAUGAAAUGGAAUGGUCUUGAGUGGAAUGGG